rnacentral:rRNA from 1 species
UACGUAGGGAGCGAGCGUUAUCCGGAAUUAUUGGGCGUAAAGGGUGCGUAGAUGGCACAUUAAGUUUCUUGUUAAAAUGCUGGGCUCAACCCAGUAGUGCAAGAGAUACUGAUGAGCUAGAGUAUGGAAGAGGCAAGUGGAACUCCAUGUGUAGCGGUAAAAUGCGUAAAUAUAUGGAAGAACACCAGUGGCGAAGGCGGCUUGCUGGUCCAAUACUGACAUUGAGGCACGAAAGCGUGGGGAGC